AACCAUAGAAACCUGCGGAGUACCUGCGGAGGGAUCAUUACAGAGUUGCAAAACUCCCUAAACCUUUGUGAACGUUACCUAAACCGUUGCUUCGGCGGGCGGCCCGGGUCCUUCCCGGCGCCCCUCGGCCCUCGCGGGCGCCCGCCGGAGGUAAACCAAACUAUUGCAUUGUAUGGCCUCUCUGAGUCUUCUGUACUGAAUAAGUCAAAACUUUUAGCAACGGAUCUCAGAUCGGAAGAG
rnacentral:misc_RNA from 1 species